GGGCGCAUAGUUUAGUGGUAUAACAUCCGCUUUGCAUGCGGAAGGUCCGGUGUUCGAUCCACCGUCCGUCCA
rfam:Penicillium arizonense strain CBS 141311 PENARI_contig005, whole genome shotgun sequence.